rnacentral:rRNA from 1 species
ACGGAAGGCAGCAGUGGGGAAUAUUGCACAAUGGGGGAAACCCUGAUGCAGCGACGCCGCGUGAGUGAAGAAGUAUUUCGGUAUGUAAAGCUCUAUCAGCAGGAAAGAAAAUGACGGUACCUGACUAAGAAGCCCCGGCUAACUACGUGCCAGCAGCCGCGGUAAUACGUAGGGGGCAAGCGUUAUCCGGAUUUACUGGGUGUAAAGGGAGCGUGGACGGCUUUGCAAGUCUGAAGUGAAAGCCCGGGGCUCAACCCCGGAACUGCUUUGGAAACUGUAGAGCUAGAGUGCAGGAGAGGUAAGUGGAAUUCCUAGUGUAGCGGUGAAAUGCGUAGAUAUUAGGAGGAACACCAGUGGCGAAGGCGGCUUACUGGACUGUAACUGACGUUGAGGCUCGAAGGCGUGGGGAGCAAACAGGAUUAGAUACCCUGGUA